CAGUGCGCAUGCGCUGUAUCCCUGCCCUAUCCCUUUCUCCCUCACCGUCCUGAAAACUGUACCGGCACAACUUACUCAGAGCAAUCUACAGUCUGCCACUGAACAGCGUGGUCUGCAAGGAAAAGAGGAGACAGGAGCAAGGGGUCAGUCAGAAUGGAUGGCAGUUUGCUACAGAAAAUGCUAGCUAGUCUGAAAGGAACAAGGACUUUGAGACCAGCAAACGCAGAGUCCAAGUGCCAGAAGGCAUCGUAAUAGCUGUGACUUCCUCAGGCAGGGCGGAAGCACUGGCCCACUGCACAGCAUCCCGCAACGAUGCACUGAUAUCCGGUAGCUCAACAGUGUCUCUGAACCUGCUCUUGACUUCAAGUUUAUCUGAAUGAUGCUGUCGCCUGGCUGCACUAUGACUUCUUCCUGCUGUAGACUUAACGCAGAGCACUAGCAGGACCGGUUAAUCUCCACAUCAUCAGUUGAUCUCCACAGCAUUCGGAGAUGACCUCACUGAAACUACUGAGUAGAAGAGCAGUUCCACGCUAGUGGUUCUGAGGUCUCCAAACUGCAUCCACCCAGGGAUUCUUAUUUACAGUGUAGAGUCUUUCUAAACUGCAAUUCCCGAGUCUAAGGCCAGGAAUAUGCACUUUCAGCUACUCCCCGAUGAUUUGGUGUACAUCAGCACUUUCUCCUCCAUGAGAAGAGACACUACAGGCUCUCAGUCUUCAGGUAAAAGGAAGAGUGAGCAGGGCCUCUCCCACUGGGUCACAGUGAAGAUUACGUGAGGAAAAGCCUGGAAGGUUUUCAUCGCUGCAGCUACCAGAGGACGGGCCUUCAGGCUCAGGGAAGAGAAGCCCUGUGGCAUAUGCACAGCUGCUGGUCUUUCCACAGAGCCUCUUUUGAUUGAAUUAGCCCUCCCUCCUCCCUCCAGGCCAGCCGAGGGCACUGCUGGGCCACGGGCCAGGCAUCUUCCACUGGGGCACUGAGUUCUCAGGUUCUCUUGAAGCAGUUUUUAAGGAAAAAAAAAAAAAAGAGGUAGAGAUAAUAAUAAUAAUAAAAGCAAACCCCUAUUUUUGUGUGGUUCAGCUAAGAAAGCCAACAAUUAAACCAUGCAAUUUAUUGGUAGGAUUUCUCAGGGUAAGACUUAAAAGUCUGCUACGAGAUUUAGACAGUUCAUUAGGGUGUAAAAUGGAAUGAUCUUAUCCAUCCAGGAUUAAAGCACACUUCCUGAGUGUGACAGAGCGUUUCCAGGGAGAGUAAGUGCCAUGAAGUCUUCGAUCCGCUUGCCCACUGUGGCUCACAAUUCCUACUCCACUGAUGUCUAACCCAUUCAGCCGUCCCUGCCCACCAGGGUGUGAGGUUUUGAAACUGAGAGCUGGGCCUGGAAACAGAAAGAGGCUCCCUCUGGGUACAGGAAGCGAUGGCAGUGGGAAAGCAUGAAAGAGGCCAGAAGCAAGUCACUUACAUGGGCAACAGACACAAACUCUAAACUCAACGUUAACGAUAAGCCAGUGUGUUAAAAAGCCAAGCUGUACCUACCUACCACCAGCCCAUCACUUUUGGUUGUCUUGUCUGUUCUCAUUGUGGAAUGAAGGAGUCGGAGGUCAGCAAGGCUGAAUGAUCACCAUCUGGAUGCCGAAGCCUUGGGCUACCUGGGUUUGUAUCUUGUCUCUGCUAGCUAGCCAUCAAACUUUGGGCUAAGUUAAAAUUCUUUCUGUGCCCCAGAUUUCUUAUUUACAAAAUGGGGGUAAUAAUGGCAGGUAACUAACUCAUAGAAUUACUGCGAAGACUACAUGAACUAAAAUGUGUACAGAGUCACAGUGGUAUCUGGCAGUUUUCUUGGUUGGCGCUAGGGCUUGGGAUGAGUCAGCCUUCAUUGAAAACUCAUCCUAGAAAUGUGGGAUGUAUUCAAUCCCUACCAUAUGCUUCUUUCCACAAAACAGGUCACCAAAGUUUCAAGGGGAACUGCAUAGCCAUUGCUCAGUCACUUUGCAGGUGCUGACCAGUUUAACCUCACAAGACCUCAGCAACAGCAAAGGCUUUGCACACCGGGCACCUUCACAAACGUGAACAGAAAGCUUCUAGAACAAGCUAACCAGUUAACCAGUCUGUGGCCCGUUCCUGACGCGCUUUAAAAGCUAUGCGAUGGGAGUGGGGAGAUGGUACAGCUCCCAUUGCAUAGCCUCCCAAACGUGAGAACCUGAGUUUGUAUCCCCAGGACCCAUGUAACAGUUAGGUGCAGCGGGGCACAUUGGGAAUGGGAGGCGGAGAUGGGAGGAUCCUGGAAGCCCACAGGGCAGGCCUGCGGCACACAAUGGUCAGACUAAUACAGAAACUCUUUAAACACUAGACAGGAAAGAGUUUACGAGGAAUGGACAGCACUGGUCGUUUAAGCACGUAGACAGGAAGGAGAGAAAGAGGAAUGGUCCUGGCCGUUCUAAAGCCACAGACGGACUCCCUUUUCCACUCUGCAAGAAGCAGCACCGCAUCCUUUCCUUGACCUCUGCUUUUAGACUGCUCUUCCAAAAUCCUAAACUUCUAAUAACAUCCUAUAAAAAUAAACCACAGGACAGCCCAUUCCAGAGACUGGAUUCCCUCCAUCCCAGGCAACCUUUAAAGCAAAAGCAGGCAGUUAAAAUAAAACUAAACAAAUAAAAUAGACAUAAGUUCAAAAAUUUUAAAAAGGUCUGGCUUAGCAUCCCAUGAGGUAUGUGAUUUUGUUAGUUUUUUUUAUGUGAAACGCGACUUCAUGCAUUUUAUUUGAAUAUUGAGAUGCAAUCAUAAAGGCGACUGGAACAUUUGUUAUAUGCUGGUAUCCCUGAAAGCAUGUGGCCCCCAAGUGUCCCCAGUACACUGGCUUGUUCUCAUUAUGUCCCCCCUUCUACCGCUCCCCCGGCAGCUUCCUCCUGCACUCUGCAGGGACU